rnacentral:SRP_RNA from 2 species
GCCGGGGACCCUCUCGAAUUGAACGGUCCGAACCAGGUCAGGACCGGAAGGUAGCAGCCUUAAGGAUGCGGUUUGAUGCGAGGAGAAAUCUCCGGCUUU